rnacentral:tRNA from 1 species
CUAUAUUGUUGUUGUAAUUUCAUAAUAAAUAGUGAAUUUAAGUUAAGUUGUUUUUUAAGCUAAAC